rnacentral:rRNA from 1 species
ACCAAGAAGCCCCCGCUAACUACGUGCCAACAGCCGCGGUAAUACGGAGGAUCCGAGCGUUAUCCGGAUUUAUUGGGUUUAAAGGGAGCGUAGGUGGAUUGUUAAGUCAGUUGUGAAAGUUUGCGGCUCAACCGUAAAAUUGCAGUUGAAACUGGCAGUCUUGAGUACAGCAGAGGUGGGCGGAAUUCGUGGUGUAGCGGUGAAAUGCUUAGAUAUCACGAAGAACUCCGAUUGCGAAGGCAGCUCACUGGACUGGUCACUGACACUGAGGCUCGAAAGUGUGGGUAUCAAACAG